GCAGAAGUAGUAUAAAAGUAUGUCUUAUUGUGGUUAAGAGGGCGAUGUUUUGCA
rnacentral:tRNA from 1 species